GAUGAACGCUGGCGGCGUGCCUAAUACAUGCAAGUCGAGCGAACGGACGAGAAGCUUGCUUCUCUGAUGUUAGCGGCGGACGGGUGAGUAACACGUGGAUAACCUACCUAUAAGACUGGGAUAACUUCGGGAAACCGGAGCUAAUACCGGAUAAUAUUUUGAACCGCAUGGUUCAAAAGUGAAAGACGGUCUUGCUGUCACUUAUAGAUGGAUCCGCGCUGCAUUAGCUAGUUGGUAAGGUAACGGCUUACCAAGGCAACGAUGUAUAGCCGACCUGAGAGGGUGAUCGGCCACACUGGAACUGAGACACGGUCCAGACUCCUACGGGAGGCAGCAGUAGGGAAUCUUCCGCAAAGGGCGAAAGCCUGACGGAGCAACGCCGCGUGAGUGAUGAAGGUCUUCGGAUCGUAAAACUCUGUUAUUAGGGAAGAACAUAUGUGUAAGUAACUGUGCACAUCUUGACGGUACCUAAUCAGAAAGCCACGGCUAACUACGUG
rnacentral:rRNA from 1 species